AUCCCAUGAUGAGAACAGGUGGCUACGUACUCCUACAAUCGUUCCCAAGCUUCCAGAAUAGACUCGUCCCUUGUCUGCUGGAAACUUGAAAUCUUUCCACGAUGGGCAU
rnacentral:snoRNA from 1 species